GCCUUCAUGGUGUAGUUGUCAGUACGCUCGACGUGUAACCGAGAGGUCCAUGGUUCGAUUCCUGGCGAAGGCG
rnacentral:tRNA from 1 species